rnacentral:rRNA from 1 species
UACAGAGGGUGCGAGCGUUAAUCGGAAUUACUGGGCGUAAAGCGUGCGUAGACGGUUAUAUAAGUCGGGUGUGAAAGCCCCGGGCUCAACCUGGGAAUUGCAUUCGAGACUGCAUAGCUAGGGUGCGGAAGAGGGAAGCGGAAUUUCCGGUGUAGCGGUGAAAUGCGCAGAUAUCGGGAGGAACACCAAUGGCGAAGGCAGCUCGCUGGGACGGUACUGACGCUGAGACGCGAAGGCGUGGGGAGCAAACAGG